rnacentral:rRNA from 1 species
UACAGAGGGUGCGAGCGUUGUCCGGAAUCACUGGGCGUAAAGGGCGCGUAGGCGGCUGGGGAAGUCCGUGGUGAAAGCUCGUGGCUCAACUGCGAGUCGGCCAAGGAUACUCCUCAGCUCGAGUCGACUAGAGGCAGAUGGAAUUCCGGGUGUAGCGGUGGAAUGCGUAGAGAUCAGGAGGAACACCAGUGGCGAAGGCGGCUUCCUGGACACCAACUGACGCUGAGACGCGAAAGCGUGGGGAGCAAACAGG